UGUUGACCUCGGAUCAGGUAGGAAUACCCGCUGAACUUAAGCAUAUCAAUAAGCGGAGGAAAAGAAACCAACAGGGAUUGCCCUAGUAACGGCGAGUGAAGCGGCAACAGCUCAAAUUUGAAAUCUGGCUCUCGGGCCCGAGUUGUAAUUUGUAGAGGAUGCUUUUGAUGCGGUGCCUUCCGAGUUCCCUGGAACGGGACGCCAUAGAGGGUGAGAGCCCCGUCUGGUUGGAUGCCAAAUCUCUGUAAAGCUCCUUCGACGAGUCGAGUAGUUUGGGAAUGCUGCUCUAAAUGGGAGGUAUAUGUCUUCUAAAGCUAAAUACCGGCCAGAGACCGAUAGCGCACAAGUAGAGUGAUCGAAAGAUGAAAAGCACUUUGAAAAGAGAGUUAAAAAGUACGUGAAAUUGUUGAAAGGGAAGCGUUUAUGACCAGACUUGGGCUUGGUUAAUCAUCUGGGGUUCUCCCCAGUGCACUUUUCCAGUCCAGGCCAGCAUCAGUUUUCGCCGGGGGAUAAAGGCUUCGGGAAUGUGGCUCUCUCCGGGGAGUGUUAUAGCCCGUUGCGUAAUACCCUGGCGGGGACUGAGGUUCGCGCAUCUGCAAGGAUGCUGGCGUAAUGGUCAUCAACGAC
rnacentral:rRNA from 1 species